CCUACGGGGGGCUGCAGUGGGGAAUAUUGGACAAUGGGCGAAAGCCUGAUCCAGCCAUGCCGCGUGUGUGAAGAAGGCCUUCGGGUUGUAAAGCACUUUCAGUGGGGAAGAAAGCCUUGGGGCUAAUACCCUCGAGGAAGGACAUCACCCACAGAAGAAGCACCGGCUAACUCCGUGCCAGCAGCCGCGGUAAUACGGAGGGUGCGAGCGUUAAUCGGAAUUACUGGGCGUAAAGCGCGCGUAGGCGGUCUGAUAAGCCGGUUGUGAAAGCCCCGGGCUCAACCUGGGAACGGCAUCCGGAACUGUCAGGCUAGAGUGCAGGAGAGGAAGGUAGAAUUCCCGGUGUAGCGGUGAAAUGCGUAGAGAUCGGGAGGAAUACCAGUGGCGAAGGCGGCCUUCUGGACUGACACUGACGCAGAGGUGCGAAAGCGUGGGUAGCAAACAGGAUUAGAUACCCGAGUAGUC
rnacentral:rRNA from 1 species